ACCAAUUUUGGGAAGACACUCACCAUUCUUCCCAAUGUAAUGGCUCGGGCGCUACAGUGGAACGCGUGGCUAUCCUGAAUUGUGGCUUUUCUAAAGGUGCCAUUGUUCUGGAAACACCACCAACAUGC